rnacentral:rRNA from 1 species
UACGGAGGGUGCGAGCGUUGUCCGGAAUCACUGGGCGUAAAGGGCGCGUAGGUGGCGCGGGCAGUCAACGGUGAAAGCUCGGGGCUCAACCCUGAAUCGGCCGUCGAUACUCCCGUGCUUGAGCACUGUAGAGGCAGAUGGAAUUCCGGGUGUAGCGGUGGAAUGCGUAGAGAUCCGGAAGAACACCGGUGGCGAAGGCGGUCUGCUGGGCAGUAGCUGACACUGAGGCGCGACAGCGUGGGGAGCAAACAGG